rnacentral:lncRNA from 1 species
CCCCGGCACACAUGGGAGUGCAUUCACGGGCCUCUAAAGGACGAAGCUCUCUGAAGUAUUUCACAGUUUGCUUCGGCUCCAAUUUCAAAGCCCCAAACAGACCUCUGAUUUCCCUGCCCAGGAGCGAAGGGCUUACUUGAGAGUCGACUGGAAAGUUCUGCAGAGAGGCUGGUCAUGCCGCUGGCACGGCCGGGUGAAAUGGGUGUCGCUGGGUGGACAGAGGAAGAGGUGAUGGAUCCCAGGUUGGUUUUAAUGUCCGGGAAAAUAGAACACAACGAUAACCACAAACCCGACAAUGUAAGGACCACAGACCUGCUUGUUCCUGGGCCAACAUUUUAACUUAGAAUCUCCCGGUGAAGAGAUCUCCUGACAUCCUCCCAAUGGUGGAGAGUUUGUCUGAAGGGACGGCACAGACAAGGGAGCUGGCACACACUAAACUCAUCAGACAAGUGCUGCGAUGCAGGUGGAGCCUUGUGCGGUUUUACAGCCGACUGUUCCUGAGGCCCGGAGGUGUCCCGUGAACAAAGGGUCUCACUAACUGCAAUACAAGGAAAAGCAGACAAACCCAUCCUUACGGCAGGAGACUUUAGCACCCUCUUCCAGUCACCGAUAGACCAUGCAAGCAGAAAUUCAGACUCGGCUGACCUGGACAGUAUCAGUUUGACCUACAGAACACCGGUAGGCCGCUCCUUUCUUCUGAGGCACACAGAUCACUCGCUAAGGCAGACUACACUUGAGGCCACAGAAGACUGCUUGGGUUUGAAGGCAUAAUCAUACAAAGUAUUUCCUUAGGCCACAAGGACUUAAACUAAAACCAAACAACACUCUCCCCUCCCCCGA